CCUACGGGAGGCAGCAGUGAGGAAUAUUGGUCAAUGGACGAGAGUCUGAACCAGCCAAGUAGCGUGAAGGAUGACUGCCCUAUGGGUUGUAAACUUCUUUUAUAUGGGAAUAAACUGUUCCACGUGUGGGAUUUUGUAUGUACCAUAUGAAUAAGGAUCGGCUAACUCCGUGCCAGCAGCCGCGGUAAUACGGAGGAUCCGAGCGUUAUCCGGAUUUAUUGGGUUUAAAGGGAGCGUAGGUGGAUUGUUAAGUCAGUUGUGAAAGUUUGCGGCUCAACCGUAGAAUUGCAGUUGAUACUGGCAGUCUAGAGUACAGUAGAGGUGGGCGGAAUUCGUGGUGUAGCGGUGAAAUGCUUAGAUAUCACGAAGAACACCGAUUGCGAAGGCAGCUCACUGGGCUGCAACUGACACUGAGGCUCGAAAGUGUGGGUAUCAAACAGGAUUAGAUACCCGGGUAGUC
rnacentral:rRNA from 1 species